CCACAGCCACGAGCGGGAUCUAAGACCAGGACCGCACGGUAGCAGGACACCCGGUCGCCAAUACCCGUGCCGUGAACUCCCGGUGAGCGAGCGCCGUUCGAGACUUCCGCUCUCUCUCUCUCUCACGCUCUGCGCGCUUCACACACCGCUUCCUUGUUCCUGACUAAACAUGAUCGGCACCAAGAAGGUCCUUGUUGCACUCCUCAUCCUGGCUAUGGUCUUAGCCAUCGAGACCGCAAAGGCCGGAAAACCUGAUAAUCGUGGCUUGGGCAGCAAUCGUGACAGCGGCUUUGGCCACGAACGUGGCUUUCGUGAUCGAAGUCGUGAAACCUCACCCCCACGUGGCUCUAAAGGUAGCCCAGACCUUCGAAACUGGCGCGGCUUUAAACAAGGUUGAUGGCGCAGCUUUGGGAUGAAGCGCACUAGCUCUGGACGAAACUGCAUUCUGAGUAUAGAAAGAGUCGCGCAGAUUUCAAGAAUGCGACAUGUAAACUGAAUUUCAAAAAACAUUAUCGCCUGU